GAUGAACGCUGGCGGCGUGCCUAAUACAUGCAAGUCGAGCGAACAGACGAGGAGCUUGCUCCUCUGACGUUAGCGGCGGACGGGUGAGUAACACGUGGAUAACCUACCUAUAAGACUGGGAUAACUUCGGGAAACCGGAGCUAAUACCGGAUAAUAUAUUGAACCGCAUGGUUCAAUAGUUAAAGACGGUUUUGCUGUCACUUAUAGAUGGAUCCGCGGCGCAUUAGCUAGUUGGUAAGGUAACGGCUUACCAAGGCAACGAUGCGUAGCCGACCUGAGGGUGUGACCGACGAUAGUGAAGCGGAGGCACGUGCCAGUGACCAGCGGAAGGCAGCAUUGGGAAAACUUCAGCAUGGGGCGAAAGCCUGACAGAGCAACGCCGCGUGAGUGAUGAAGGCCGACGGAGCGUAAAACUCUGUUUUAGGGAAAGAACAAAUGGGUAAGUAGCUAUGCACGUAUUGAGGGUCCGAAAUCAGAAUGACGGGGCUAACUGCUG
rnacentral:rRNA from 1 species